rnacentral:rRNA from 1 species
AGAGUUUGAUCCUGGCUCAGGACGAACGCUGGCGGCGUGCCUAACACAUGCAAGUCGAACGGAACUUCUUUAAUUGACUUCUUCGGAAUGAUUUUGAUUAAGUUUAGUGGCGGACGGGUGAGUAACGCGUGAGUAACCUGCCUCUAAGAGGGGAAUAACAUUCUGAAAAGAAUGCUAAUACCGCAUAACAUAUAUUUAUCGCAUGGUAGAUAUAUCAAAGAUUUAUCGCUUAGAGAUGGACUCGCGUCCGAUUAGUUAGUUGGUGAGGUAACGGCUCACCAAGACCGCGAUCGGUAGCCGGACUGAGAGGUUGAACGGCCACAUUGGGACUGAGACACGGCCCAGACUCCUACGGGAGGCAGCAGUGGGGGAUAUUGCGCAAUGGGGGAAACCCUGACGCAGCAACGCCGCGUGAAGGAUGAAGGUCUUCGGAUUGUAAACUUCUUUUAUUAAGGACGAAGAAAGUGACGGUACUUAAUGAAUAAGCUCCGGCUAACUACGUGCCAGCAGCCGCGGUAAUACGUAGGGAGCAAGCGUUGUCCGGAUUUACUGGGUGUAAAGGGUGCGUAGGCGGCUUUGCAAGUUAGAUGUGAAAUCUAUGGGCUCAACCCAUAGCCUGCAUUUGAAACUGCAGAGCUUGAGUGAAGUAGAGGCAGGCGGAAUUCCCCGUGUAGCGGUGAAAUGCGUAGAGAUGGGGAGGAACACCAGUGGCGAAGGCGGCCUGCUGGGCUUUAACUGACGCUGAGGCACGAAAGCGUGGGUAGCAAACAGGAUUAGAUACCCUGGUAGUCCACGCUGUAAACGAUGAUUACUAGGUGUGGGGGGUCUGACCCCUUCCGUGCCGGAGUUAACACAAUAAGUAAUCCACCUGGGGAGUACGGCCGCAAGGUUGAAACUCAAAUGAAUUGACGG